GACAGAGGGUGCAAGCGUUGUUCGGAAUUAUUGGGCGUAAAGGGCGCGUAGGCGGCGGUGCAAGUCGGAUGUGAAAGCCCUGGGCUCAACCCCGGACUUGCGGUGGGUACGGGCAGACUAGAGUGUGGUAGGGGAGACUGGAAUUCCUGGUGUAGCGGUGAAAUGCGCAGAUAUCAGGAGGAACACCGAUGGCGAAGGCAGGUCUCUGGGCCACUACUGACGCUGAGAAGCGAAAGCGUGGGGAGCGAACAGG
rnacentral:rRNA from 1 species